UAAUACGAAGGGACCUAGCGUAGUUCGGAAUUACUGGGCUUAAAGAGUUCGUAGGUGGUUAAAAAAGUUGGUGGUGAAAUCCCAGAGCUUAACUCUGGAACUGCCAUCAAAACUUUUUAGCUAGAGUAUGAUAGAGGAAAGUAGAAUUUCUAGUGUAGAGGUGAAAUUCGUAGAUAUUAGAAAGAAUACCAAUUGCGAAGGCAGCUUUCUGGAUCAUUACUGACACUGAGGAACGAAAGCAUGGGUAGCGAAGAGGAUUAGAUACCCUCGUAGUCCAUGCCGUAAACGAUGUGUGUUAGACGUUGGAAAUUUAUUUUCAGUGUCGCAGCGAAAGCAAUAAACACACCGCCUGGGGAGUACGACCGCAAGGUUA
rnacentral:rRNA from 1 species